GCGCUCACUUUGGCAGCAUAUAUACUAAACUUGGCACUAUACAGAGGAGGUUUGCAUGGCCCUGCAUCAGGAUAGCCCACAAAACAUCUAGAAAGCAUGGUGGCCUCU
ensembl:snRNA U6 U6 spliceosomal RNA